CCUACGGGUGGCAGCAGUGGGGGAUAUUGCACAAUGGGGGGAACCCUGAUGCAGCGACGCCGCGUGGGUGAAGAAGCGCCUCGGCGCGUAAAGCCCUGUCAGCAGGGAAGAAAAUGACGGUACCUGAAGAAGAAGCCCCGGCUAACUACGUGCCAGCAGCCGCGGUAAUACGUAGGGGGCAAGCGUUAUCCGGAUUUACUGGGUGUAAAGGGGGCGCAGACGGCGAUGCAAGCCAGGAGUGAAAGCCCGGGGCCCAACCCCGGGACUGCUCUUGGAACUGCGUGGCUGGAGUGCAGGAGGGGCAGGCGGAAUUCCUGGUGUAGCGGUGAAAUGCGUAGAUAUCAGGAGGAACAUCGGUGGCGUAAGCGCUUUACUGGGCCGUAAUUGACGCUGAGGAACGAAAGCCAGGGUAGCAAAUGGGAUUAGAUACCCCAGUAGUC
rnacentral:rRNA from 1 species